rnacentral:rRNA from 1 species
UACGAAGGGGGCGAGCGUUGUUCGGAUUUACUGGGCGUAAAGGGCGCGCAGGCGGCUUAUUUUGUCAGGCGUGAAAGCCCCGGGCUUAACCUGGGAACUGCGUUUGAUACGGAUGGGCUAGAGUUCGGGAGAGGAGAGUGGAAUUCCCAGUGUAGAGGUGAAAUUCGUAGAUAUUGGGAAGAACACCGGUGGCGAAGGCGGCCAUCUGGACCGCAACUGACGCUGAGGCGCGAAAGCGUGGGGAGCAAACAGG